CAGCCCUUUAGAAGAAACCUCAGACAAUCCUGCAGUGGCAUCUGUGGAAAGCCGAAGCCCUGUGCAAAGGCAUCUUAUAAGGGAGCAGGAAGCAGGAAGAGGCAAAGCUUUCGUGAGCUCAGCGGUGACCAGCUUGAUGUUUUUGACAACACGAGUGUUUGACUGGGACUACAGGCUACCAGAUGUUUUGUACAAGUCUGGAAAGAAGUUGCACCAGCAGCAGCCUUCUAGGAGAUCUGGUUCGGGUCAGAAACCUGUCCACACCAGAAUGGAUUUGGCUGAUCUCAGUGAGGGGCAGGAAUGAGGGGUGAGGGGGCUGAUGUGGGAGCCAGAAUUAAAGAAGCAGUCCUGUCUCCAUCGAACUCUGAAGCGCGCCUCUAGGCGGGAUACGACUGCGUCCUGGAUGACAAAAAUACACGUCGCUAAAUCUUCAUGGAUAUCCGUCUUCGGUACGUACGACUCGGCAAGAGAACUGAGGUGAUGCUUUGAAAAAUCACAGCGCUGAGGAUCCGGUUUACUUAGCAUGUCGUGUUUA